rnacentral:RNase_P_RNA from 11 species
CAAGAAGAUUGGGCAAUCGCGAGAGUUUCGAUUUUCGAGGAAAGUCCGGGCACUACAGAGCAGAAUGCCAGCUAACGGCUGGGCGGUGAAAGCCGACGGAAAGUGCAGCAGAGAGUAGACCGCCAAUUUAUUGGUAAGGGUGAAAGGGUGCGGUAAGAGCGCACCGCGCAGCGGGUAACCGUUUGUGGCAAGGUAAACCCCAUUCAGUGCAAGACCAAAUAGGGAAACAGGUUUAAGCUUGCUUAAACAAGGUGUGGCUCGCACCUGGUUUCCGGGUAGGUUGCUUGAGGGAAGCAGUGAUGCUUCUCCUAGAGGAAUGAUUGUCGCCCGCGAGGGAACAGAACCCGGCUUAUAGAUCUUCUUGCACU